CAAAUCCUAACCUUAGUCUGGUUUUCAGGUACUUCACACUGCAUAUAAUAGAAGGCACAAUAUUUUUCUAUCAGGUCUAGUAUCACAAACACAUGGACUCGGAUAAAAGAUUCAGACAAAACUGUGACAAAAAACAUAUAGGAAAUGAGAUGUCAAUCCUUUGUUUAUUGCUGCCUAAAGAGGGCAGCCCGGUGCACUAAGCUUCCGCUAUGCACGGGAUCCGUGGAAGGGCCGGACCACAAGGGUCUAUUAUAUGUAGCCUUACCCUACAUUUCUGCAAGAGGCUGUUUUCACGGCUCGACCCCUGACCUCCUGGUCAUAUGACAGCAAAAUUUAGAUGUUUAUUGCUUUCAAAUCAUCUUAAAAUUUCAAACUAACAAAAUUAUAUCUAAAUACAAGUUUCAUUAAUUUGCAUAGUUAUCAAGUUUUCAGAAGUGGUGCAUAUUAGUUCAUUCCAAUGGAAUCAGUCUAUAUCUAGCAAAAUUACAAAUCACAAGCAAACUAAAACUCAUCCAUACAAAGUUACAUUCCAUUAUCAGUGGAACACACUUUUUAGGUGAAGUCUCAAACUUAAGAGAAUGAUCUGUUUAGUAAUCCUUUUAAGUGAAGUCUCAAACUGAAAAGAUGAUUUCCUCUUUUCCUUUUGAUUUGGUAUAUACUCCAUAAUGUAUUCCAUUAAGUUAAAUUAUACAUAAUAUACACCAUUUUUAAAUACUCAGAGGACCAUCAAUAUAUCAGGGCAAAGAUCACUUUUAACCCGCGGCCGAGACUAUUUAUAUAGCCGCAAAUGUGUAUAACAUAUAUUUCUUGUAUAUAACAUAUAGAAAUGUGUGUGUAUAUAUAUAUACAAAAAAUAUACAUAUUUUUGGCUGUUAUUUAAGAGCGGCUAUAGAGUGUCAUUUUCCAAUACUACUCAUACUCUAUCCUAUACAUUAGGGACCAUUUGAGUUAAGUCUCGAACUUAAGGGACUAUUUUGGGUUUUUUAAUAAUUUUACGCCCGGAUAAGGUUCUAAACGUCGUAGCUUUGACUCAAACUCUAUAUAAAUAUCAGAAGUUUACCCAUAAAUAAAUAUAAAUAAUAGAUUGUGAACCCAUUAAAUCAAAUGUGAUGUGGUAGAAUGUAGGACUCGAACUCAUGAUGUUCAAAUCCUAGAUCCGCCCAUGCUUGAAGUAAUUGGAUCAUCCAUCAGAAAAUCCAAAAAGGAGUUGGUCAUUAGUCUUCUCUAUCGUUGUUAAACAAUUUCUUUUUCAUUUCCAUGAUUAUCAUUAGCAUAUUAAUUUCCUACCUACCAACACUCCAUAGAUAUCAAUUUCUAGACAAUAAUUUCUUGGAUCUUGAAACAGAAGAUAUAAAAAAAGAAACAAUAUAACAUGUUUUUCACGUGCAUGUACGAGAAAUGUUAAAUCAAGUAUACGCAUAUGAAUCUUUGUAUCUAUUCUUGAAAUUGAUGAAUAAUAUUAUGAAUGAGAAAUUAAGAAAUUGCCUGCUUCUAUGCUCCACAAGAAUUGGAUACUGAUCAAACUUCAGCUGCAGAUAGAAAAGAUCUUGUUUUCGAAAAUGAAUCUAUUUUCUCCCUUGUUUUUUGAGGUUAAUUUCAUGAACGAUAACUCAACUUUUAUUUUAUCGCACUAAAGUCACUGAAAUAUGUUUUUUCUAAAAACAAUUACUUAAUUUUAUCUAAGUUUCGGGAAAGUCACUAACUUUUUUUUGUAACGAAAAAAUCAUGUAAUCUUGACUAUUGUACUUAGGUAAAAUUGAGUAACUUUUUGGUUACAAAAGUAUUUUAAUGAUUUUGGUGCAUUGAUAUAAAAGUUGAAUGACCUAAAAUUAAACCUUAUUUCUUUUUAGGUAACUACCUUUUUGGAAGAUAGCUGAAGAAGAAGUCAAGGUGCUACAAUUUGAAGAAUUCUCAAGAUUACAGAAGGAAGGGCUUGAUAAUAACUUCUUUCUUCUUUAUUCUACAAUUUUAUAAGUAUCAUUAUUUGUUAGAUCAAGAAUGUGUUUUAUGAAUUCUUGUUUUAUGGUCCUAAAAAAAGAAAAAAGAAAGAAAAGAAAGUCAUUAGGUCGUUUUUACGAGCUCACAAACUUUUAGGCGAUUCGGAGCCCGUCACCCGAAUUCAUAAAGAUGACGUGGACAUUAGCACAUGUAAAAUUGGAAAUCAUCCUGAAUUUCUGUUUAAAGGUCUUAAAACGCCAAAAAAUG
rnacentral:lncRNA from 1 species